rnacentral:tRNA from 1 species
GCAGAGGUAGCCAAGCUUGGUCCACGGCGCCGGUCUGAGGCACCGGUCGUAUAGACGCGCGAGGGUUCAAAUCCCUCCCUCUGCACUA